UACGAAGGGGGCUAGCGUUGCUCGGAAUCACUGGGCGUAAAGGGUGCGUAGGCGGGUUCUUAAGUCAGAGGUGAAAUCCUGGAGCUCAACUCCAGAACUGCCUUUGAUACUGAGAGUCUUGAGUAUGACAGAGGUGAGUGGAACUGCGAGUGUAGAGGUGAAAUUCGUAGAUAUUCGCAAGAACACCAGUGGCGAAGGCGGCUCACUGGGUCAGUACUGACGCUGAGCCGCGAAAGCCAGGGGAGCGAACGGG
rnacentral:rRNA from 1 species